UGAGCAACCUGCCCUUAGCUCUGGGAUAAACCCCGGGAAACCGGGGCUAAUACCGGAUACGAGUCCGAGCGGCAUCACACGGACUGGAAAGUUUUUCGGCUAAGGAUGGGCUCGCGGCCUAUCAGCUUGUUGGUGGGGUAAUGGCCCACCAAGGCGACGACGGGUAGCCGGCCUGAGAGGGCGACCGGCCACACUGGGACUGAGACACGGCCCAGACUCCGUACGGGAGCA
rnacentral:rRNA from 1 species